rnacentral:rRNA from 1 species
AUUGAACGCUGGCGGCAUGCCUUACACAUGCAAGUCGAACGGCAGCACGGGUGCUUGCACCUGGUGGCGAGUGGCGAACGGGUGAGUAAUACAUCGGAACGUACCUUAUCGUGGGGGAUAACGCAGCGAAAGCUGUGCUAAUACCGCGUACGCCCUGAGGGGGAAAGCGGGGGAUCGAAAGACCUCGCGCGAUUAGAGCGGCCGAUGCCUGGUUAGCUUGUUGGUGGGGUAAAAGCCCACCAAGGCGACGAUCAGUAGCUGGUCUGAGAGGACGAUCAGCCACACUGGGACUGAGACACGGCCCAGACUCCUACGGGAGGCAGCAGUGGGGAAUUUUGGACAAUGGGGGCAACCCUGAUCCAGCAAUGCCGCGUGAGUGAAGAAGGCCUUCGGGUUGUAAAGCUCUUUUGUCAGGGAAGAAACACCGGCUCUAACACAGUCCGGGAAUGACGGUACCUGAAGAAUAAGCACCGGCUAACUACGUGCCAGCCGCCGCAGUAA